AUGCUUGCUUCAGCAGCACGCAUACUAAAAUUGGAACAAUACAGAGGAGAUUAGCAUGGCCCCUGCGCAAGGAUGACACGCAAAUUUGUGAAGGAUUCCAUAUUUCC
ensembl:snRNA U6 U6 spliceosomal RNA